rnacentral:rRNA from 1 species
AGACGGAGGGGGCUAGCGUUAUUCGGAAUUACUGGGCGUAAAGGGCGCGUAGGCGGAUUAGUAAGUUGGGAGUGAAAGCCCGGGGCUUAACCUCGGAACUGCUUUCAAAACUGCUAGUCUUGAGUGAAGUAGGGGGUGAUGGAAUUCCUAGUGUAGAGGUGAAAUUCUUAGAUAUUAGGAGGAACACCGGUGGCGAAGGCGGUCACCUGGACUUCAACUGACGCUGAGGCGCGAAAGCGUGGGGAGCAAACAGGAUUAGAAACCCUAGUAGUCC